rnacentral:tRNA from 1 species
GGAAGGGUACAGCUCAGUGGUAGAGCACGUGCUUAGCAUGCAUGGGGCCCUGCGUUCAAUCCCCAGCACCUCCA